AUUGAUUUUAUGCUUGCAUAAAUGAUUUUUUGGAUUCGGAGCGAGUGGCGAACUGGUGAGUAACACGUGGGUAACCUGCCCCGAAGCGGGGGAUAACAUUUGGAAACAAGUGCUAAUACCGCAUAAUUAGUUGGAACCGCAUGGUUCCAACUUGAAAGAUGGCUCUGCUAUCACUUUGGGAUGGACCCGCGCCGUAUUAGUUAGUUGGUGAGAUAAAAGCCCACCAAGACGAUGAUACGUAGCCGACCUGAGAGGGUAAUCGGCCACAUUGGGACUGAGACACGGCCCAGACUCCUACGGGAGGCAGCAGUAGGGAAUCUUCCACAAUGGACGAAAGUCUGAUGGAGCAACGCCGCGUGAGUGAUGAAGGUUUUCGGAUCGUAAAACUCUGUUGUUAAAGAAGAACAAGUGUUAGAGUAACUGUUAACACUUUGACGGUAUUUAACCAGAAAGCCACGGCUAACUACGUGCCAGCAGCCGCGGUAAUACGUAGGUGGCAAGCGUUGUCCGGAUUUAUUGGGCGUAAAGCGAGCGCAGGCGGUUUUGUAAGUCUGCUGUGAAAGCCCUCAGCUCAACUGAGGAAGUGCAGUGGAAACUACAAAACUUGAGUACAGAAGAGGAAAGUGGAACUCCAUGUGUAGCGGUGAAAUGCGUAGAUAUAUGGAAGAACACCAGUGGCGAAGGCGGCUUUCUGGUCUGUUACUGACGCUGAGGCUCGAAAGCAUGGGUAGCGAACAGGAUUAGAUACCCUGGUAGUCCAUGCCGUAAACGAUGAAUACUAGGUGUUGGAGGGUUUCCGCCCUUCAGUGCCGCAGCUAACGCAUUAAGUAUUCCGCCUGGGGAGUACGACCGCAAGGUUGAAACUCAGAGGAAUUGACGGGGGCCCGCACAAGUGGUGGAGCAUGUGGUUUAAUUCGAUGCUACGCGAAGAACCUUACCAGCUCUUGACAUCUUCUGCCAACCCAAGAGAUUGGGCGUUCCCUUCGGGGACAGAAUGACAGGUGGUGCAUGGUUGUCGUCAGCUCGUGUCGUGAGAUGUUGGGUUAAGUCCCGCAACGGGCGCAACCCUUAUUAUUAGUUGCCAGCAUUUAGUUGGGCACUCUAGUGAGACUGCCGGUGAUAAA
rnacentral:rRNA from 1 species